rnacentral:rRNA from 1 species
CGUGUAGGCGGUUUGGUAAGUCUGAUGUGAAAGCCCCGGGCUCAACCUGGGAAGUGCAUUGGAAACUGUCAGACUUGAAUACGGGAGAGGGUAGUGGAAUUCCUGGUGUAGGAGUGAAAUCCGUAGAUAUCAGGAGGAACACCGGUGGCGAAGGCGGCUGCCUGGACCGAUAUUGACGCUGAGACGCGAAAGCGUGGGUAGCAAACAGGAUUAGAUACCCUGGUAGUCCACGCCGUAAACGAUGAGUACUAGGUGUUGCGGGUAUUGACCCCUGCAGUGCCGCAGCUAACGCAUUAAGUACUCCGCCUGGGAAGUACGGUCGCAAGACUAAA